rnacentral:rRNA from 1 species
UAGGGAAUCUUCCACAAUGGACGCAAGUCUGAUGGAGCAACGCCGCGUGAGUGAAGAAGGCUUUCGGGUCGUAAAACUCUGUUGUUGGAGGAGAAUGGUCGGCAGAGUAACUGUUGUCGGCGUGACGGUAUCCAACCAGAAAGCCACGGCUAACUACGUGCCAGCAGCCGCGGUAAUACGUAGGUGGCAAGCGUUAUCCGGAUUUAUUGGGCGUAAAGCGAGCGCAGGCGGUUUUUUAAGUCUGAUGUGAAAGCCCUCGGCUUAACCGAGGAAGCGCAUCGGAAACUGGGAAACUUGAGUGCAGAAGAGGACAGUGGAACUCCAUGUGUAGCGGUGAAAUGCGUAGAUAUAUGGAAGAACACCAGUGGCGAAGGCGGCUGUCUGGUCUGUAACUGACGCUGAGGCUCGAAAGCAUGGGUAGCGAACAGGAUUAGAUACCCUGGUAGUCCAUGCCGUAAACGAUGAAUGCUAGG